UUAAAAGAAUAUUGGCACAGGAAGAGCCCUGGCAUUCCAGCAGGAGCUAACAGGAAAAAGAAAAUCAAUGGCAGUAGCCCUGACACAGCCACUUCUGGUGGUUACCACUCACCUGGGGAUUAAAUUUAUUUGUAAAAAGUUAAAGGAGAGUGAGUCUUUCCCUCAUGUUCACUCUGGCAUCCUUUAGAAUUUUUUUUUAAUUUGAUAAUUAUAGGACGUUAGCAUGCAUAUCGAGUUUGCCCUUAUGUGGUGGGAGUUCAAAGACACAAAGACCCACUAUAUGCACACAACUGUGCUUGCUGGUUUGGGAUAGGCUGCCAUGCUUUUUUAAUGUUAGUGCAGCAUGUAUAUUCAUUACGGAAUUGAGAUAAAAUUUACUUAUGUUCUGCUGUUAUGUUUGAUCGAAUCCUAAUCACAGUGAGCUCUUCAUUAGCUCAAUAUGUGGUUUGCCCUCAAGUGCGCAGUCUAUUAAUUUGUAAUAUGCCACUGUGAGUACUGACAUUUACAGUUGUUUAAAGGCGGAGCACUGGAAACAGCCUUUCCCCCUUUUUCUGUGUAUUGGGGAUGGGAGUAAUAACAUUUUGGGGAGCUUUUUAAAUCCCCCAGAAGAGGAAAGUGGCCUGUUCUGGCAGGUGUGUGCAGGAUAGAAUAUGUUUCAUUUGUUCCGGUGCCAAGAAUGAGCACUGUACUAUGGUAGUUCCCUUAGGAUUUGUAUGUGCUCUGGGCUCAUGAAGAUAUUGCCUCAUGAGCUGUGGCAGUUGUACUCUUGUUUGACGACCUAAAAAGGGAUUAUUUCUGAGGAAUGAAAGGCUCCCAUCAUGACUGUGGAUGUGGAAAACCUUUUCUAGCUAGAGCAUUUAUAUCUACAAUACAUUUUAAAGUCAGAGUUCAUGUUCCCUGUUUUAAUCACAUGACUACAUGUCCCAGUACACAAAAGGGCACUGGUUGGCAUUCUUCUUAAUGUAUUUAGUAAAGAUCAGAAGAAAUCCUUUAAGAGUUUACAUGUCCCUUGAACAGGCAUAUACAGGCUCUAGUCAAGAAUGAAUCUGAGUGAAGGAAAGCUGUGUCACACCCGGCAUUCCUCUAUGUUCAUGGAGCUUAUUUGAGGCUAGAAGAUGGAUUUUACCAUCUAGACCUCUCUAGCUAAUACCUAGUCUUCAAGCAUCUGACAUAGGAAUUUACUUCUUUUCCUUGAAUGGAAAAGACUUUAAAAAUAAUAACAAACAUUAUUAUAAACUAAUAUAUGUGAGAGUACUUAGUUGAAACAAAAAGGAGUUUUAGUAGACAGUAUUAUACUACAUUUGAAAAUCAAGGAGAAGUUUAUUCAACUCAAAAUGUUUACAAACUGCAGCGCAAUCUACUGUUUGUGAAUGUCAAAGUGUCAUGAGGAAAGUGUCUAUACAAUCACAGAGUUAUAUUUCCUCACAAAGUUCUUUACGAAGAGUGAAAUAUGUUUUUAUACCUCUCAGUAUCAGUUAGAGGCAUAUUUUGUGUAAUAUUUAUGGCUUAAAAUGGACUAAAGGUCCUGUUCUUGCCUUUUCUGAACUUGCCGCUUUUGCAUUCUUUGAGUUCAGUGUAAAGACA
rnacentral:sRNA from 1 species